UACGUAGGGGGCUAGCGUUGUCCGGAUUCAUUGGGCGUAAAGCGCACGCAGGCGGCUUGGUAAGUCAUCGGUGAAAUCCCCCGGCUCAACCGGGGGGGGUCCGGCGAAACUGCCAGGCUUGAGGUCGGGAGGGGGAAGCGGAAUUCCGGGUGUAGUGGUGGAAUGGCGUAGAUAUCCGGAGGAACACCAGUGGCGAAGGCGGCUUCCUGGUCCAGCACCGACGUUCAGGCACGAAAGCGUGGGGAGCAAA
rnacentral:rRNA from 1 species